GGAAUUUUCCGCAAUGGGCGAAAGCCUGACGGAGCAAUACCGCGUGAGGGACGACGGCCUGUGGGUUGUAAACCUCUUUUCUCAAGGAAGAAGCUCUGACGGUACUUGAGGAAUAAGCAUCGGCUAACUCUGUGCCAGCAGCCGCGGUAAUACAGAGGAUGCAAGCGUUAUCCGGAAUCACUGGGCAUAAAGCGUCUGUAGGUGGUUUAGUAAGUCUGCUGUUAAAGACUGGGGCUCAACCCCAGAAAAGCAGUGGAAACUGCUAGACUUGAGUGUGGUAGAGGUAGAGGGAAUUCCUAGUGUAGCGGUGAAAUGCGUAGAUAUUAGGAAGAACACCAAUGGCGAAGGCACUCUACUGGGCCAUAACUGACACUGAGAGACGACAGCUAGGGGAGCAAAUGGGAUUAGAUACCCCAGUAGUC
rnacentral:rRNA from 1 species